rnacentral:misc_RNA from 1 species
CCUCCUUAUACGAUUUAGAACUUAUUUGUUCGUAGUGUCCACACAGAUGAUUGUUAGUUAGCUAAGCCACUGGCUUACCUAAUUAAUAUGCUCUUUAAAAAUUUGGAAAAGCUGAUAAUAAAAUUCGUAUAGAUAACAGUUGUUAUUUAUACAGAGUUUUCAAAAGUAAAAAAAUGCCAUUGAUUAUUCAAACGAAUAAUGAAUUGGUAUCUACUUUAGUAUUCAAUAUUAACUUCUGGCGAAGUUAAACUGUCACUAACAAAGACCCGUUUGGGUUGUAUGGUUAAGUGACUAAGCGUACACGGUGG